rnacentral:rRNA from 1 species
AGGAAAAGAAAGAAAACUCGAUUCCGUAAGUAGCGGCGAGCGAACGCGGAAGAGCCUAAACCAGAUCGCGUGCGAUCUGGGGUUACGGACUGCAUUUAAGAUUCUGCAAUGUUAGUGGAACGGUUUUGGGAAAGCCGGCCGGAGAGGGUGAAAGCCCCGUAGACGAAAACAGAGCAGACUGAGCAGGAUCCAGAGUACCGCGGGACACGAGAAACCCUGCGGGAAGUCAGGGGGACCACCCCCUAAGGCUAAAUACCACUUAGUGACCGAUAGCGCAUAGUACUGUGAAGGAAAGGUGAAAAGGACCCCGGGAGGGGAGUGAAAGAGAACCUGAAACCCUGUGUCUACAAGCUGUGGAAGUGCUUUAUAUGCACAACCGCGUACUUUUUGUAGAACGGUCCGGCGAGUUGCGCUCACUGGCAAGGUUAAACACUUAAGGUGUGGAGCCGUAGGGAAACCAAGUCUUAACAGGGCCAGAGUCAGUGGGGGCAGACCCGAAACCGGGUGAUCUAUCCAUGUCCAGGUUGAAGCUGCCGUAAGAGGCAGUGGAGGACCGAACCCACAUCCGUUGAAAAGGGUGGGGAUGAGGUGUGGAUAGGGGAGAAAUUCCAAUCGAACCCGGAGAUAGCUGGUUCUCCUCGAAAUAGCUUUAGGGCUAGCCUUGGUAGAGAUUUGCGGAGGUAGAGCACUGAAUUUCCUAGGGGGCGUCAAAGCCUACCGAAGAAUAUCAAACUCCGAAUGCCGUGUAAUUGCUUACCAGGAGUCAGACUGUACGAGAUAAGUUGGACAGUCAAAAGGGAAAGAGCCCAGACCUUCAGUUAAGGUCCCAAAGUGUGCGUUAAGUGGAAAAGGAUGUGGGAUUUCGAAGACAACCAGGAUGUUGGCUCAGAAGCAGCCAUACAUUCAAAGAGUGCGUAAUAGCUCACUGGUCGAGAGGUCCUGCGCCGAAAAUGUCCGGGGCUGAAACGUACCACCGAAACUAAGGAAUCCGAAAGGAUUGGUAGAGGAGCAUUGCAUGCGGGAUGAAGCAGUACCGUAAGGAGCUGUGGACUGCAUGGAAGAGAGAAUGCCGGAAUGAGUAGCGAGAUAGAGGUGAGAAUCCUCUAGGCCGAAUAUCCAAGGUUUCCAGGGUAAAGCUGAUCUGCCCUGGGUAAGUCGGGGCCUAAGGUGAGGGCGAGAGCCGUAGCCGAUGGACAACAGGUGGAGAUUCCUGUACUAUGAUAUGACAGAACUGUGGGGACACGUGCAGAGAGCGGAAGCCGGGAAUGGAAUCCCGGUGCAAGCGGGGUACCAGUCACAUUGGAAAAACCGUGUGGCAAUGGGAAGACGUGAUGCGGAGUGAAAAAUAGUAACGAAGUCCGUGAGCUGUGCGUCAAGAAAAGCCGCUAUUGUUCAUACCAUACCCGUACCGUAAACCGACACAGGUGGAUGAGGAGAGAAUCCUAAGGCCGGCGGAAGAAGCAUUGUCAAGGAACUCGGCAAAAUGACCCCGUAACUUCGGGAGAAGGGGUGCCACUGAAAAGUGGCCGCAGAGAAUAGGCUCAAGCAACUGUUUAGCAAAAACACAGGUCUAUGCGAAACCGUAAGGUGAGGUAUAUGGGCUGACGCCUGCCCGGUGCUGGAAGGUUAAGAGGAGAGGUUAGCGCAAGCGAAGCUUUGAAUUUAAGCCCCAGUAAACGGCGGCCGUAACUAUAACGGUCCUAAGGUAGCGAAAUUCCUUGUCGGGUAAGUUCCGACCCGCACGAAAGGCGUAAUGAUUUGAGCGCUGUCUCGACAAUGCAUCCGGUGAAAUUGAAGUACCAGUGAAGAUGCUGGUUACCUGCGCCAGGACGGAAAGACCCCAUGGAGCUUUACUCCAGUUUGGUACUGGGAUCCGGUACUGCAUGUACAGGAUAGGUGGGAGGCUGUGAAAUAGUAACGCCAGUUAUUAUGGAGCCGCUGUUGGGAUACCACCCUUGCAGUAUUGGGUUUCUAACCAGCCGCCGUGACCCGGCGGUGGGACAAUGCCAGACGGGGAGUUUGACUGGGGCGGUCGCCUCCGAAAGGGUAUCGGAGGCGCCCAAAGGUUCCCUCAGAAUGGACGGAAACCAUUCGAAGAGUGCAAAGGCAGAAGGGAGCUUGACUGCGACACCGACGGGUGGAGCAGGUACGAAAGUAGGGCUUAGUGAUCCGGUGGUAUUAAGUGGGAAUGCCAUCGCUCAACGGAUAAAAGCUACCCUGGGGAUAAC